CCCUGGUAGUCCACGCCGUAAACGAUGUCGACUUGGAGGUUGUUCCCUUGAGGAGUGGCUUCCGGAGCUAACGCGUUAAGUCGACCGCCUGGGGAGUACGGCCGCAAGGUUAAAACUCAAAUGAAUUGACGGGGGCCCGCACAAGCGGUGGAGCAUGUGGUUUAAUUCGAUGCAACGCGAAGAACCUUACCUACUCUUGACAUCCAGCGAAUUUAGCAGAGAUGCUUUGGUGCCUUCGGGAACGCUGAGACAGGUGCUGCAUGGCUGUCGUCAGCUCGUGUUGUGAAAUGUUGGGUUAAGUCCCGCAACGAGCGCAACCCUUAUCCUUUGUUGCCAGCGAUUCGGUCGGGAACUCAAAGGAGACUGCCGGUGAUAAACCGGAGGAAGGUGGGGAUGACGUCAAGUCAUCAUGGCCCUUACGAGUAGGGCUACACACGUGCUACAAUGGCGCAUACAAAGAGAAGCGACCUCGCGAGAGCAAGCGGACCUCACAAAGUGCGUCGUAGUCCGGAUCGGAGUCUGCAACUCGACUCCGUGAAGUCGGAAUCGCUAGUAAUCGUGGAUCAGAAUGCCACGGUGAAUACGUUCCCGGGCCUUGUACACACCG
rnacentral:rRNA from 1 species